rnacentral:rRNA from 1 species
UACGAAGGGGACUAGCGUUGUUCGGAAUUACUGGGCGUAAAGCGCACGUAGGCGGAUUGCUAAGUCAGGGGUGAAAUCCUGGAGCUCAACUCCAGAACUGCCUUUGAUACUGGCGACCUUGAGUCCGGGAGAGGUGAGUGGAACUGCGAGUGUAGAGGUGAAAUUCGUAGAUAUUCGCAAGAACACCAGUGGCGAAGGCGGCUCACUGGCCCGGUACUGGAACGCUGAGGUGCGAAAGCGUGGGGAGCAAACAGG